ensembl:snRNA U6 U6 spliceosomal RNA
UUGCUCACUACAGUGGCACAUAUACUAAAAUUGGAACCACUGGAAGAAGAUAAGCCUAGCCCGUGUGCAAAGAUGACAAGCAAAUUCUUGAAGUGUUCCACAUUUAC